rnacentral:misc_RNA from 1 species
GAUUUUUUUGAAAUGUUGAAAAAAUAUGCCUAAAUUUUUUUACCAUGUAAAAGUAACCGGGGUGGAUGUACUUGCGUUUGCUGAAUGCCAUAYRCUAAAUUUUUUUACCAUGUAAAAUUGGUGAAACAAUACUGUAAAUUUUUUUACCAUGUAAAAUUUGCUGGUGUGGACUUAGAGAAAUUUUAUACUGUAAAUUUUUUUACCUUGUAGAUUUUGCUCUACAGGGUGUGGGGUGGACUUGACUUUUUUUUUUUUUUUUAAUGAACUUCAGGGCUAGUUUCUAGUGUGUUAGCCAAGGACCAUAUUUUUGUGUUACACUUUCAGCUUCUCAGC